rnacentral:rRNA from 1 species
AAAUUGAAGAGUUUGAUCAUGGCUCAGAUUGAACGCUGGCGGCAGGCCUAACACAUGCAAGUCGAACGGUAACAGGAAGAAGCUUGCUUCUUUGCUGACGAGUGGCGGACGGGUGAGUAAUGUCUGGGAAACUGCCUGAUGGAGGGGGAUAACUACUGGAAACGGUAG